rnacentral:rRNA from 1 species
GACGAACGCUGGCGGCGUGCUUAACACAUGCAAGUCGAACAGUGGCGAACGGGUGAGUAACGCGUAGGUAACUACCUAUUAGAGGGGGAUAACUAUUGGAAACGAUAGCUAAUACCGCAUACUAGUAGAUGGCCUGCGUUGUAUUCCCUAGUAGGUCGGGUAAAGGCCUACAUAGGCAACGAGACAUAGCCGCCCUGAGAGGGUGAUCGUCCAGACUGGGACUGAUACACGGCCCAGACUCCUACGGAGGGCAGCAGUGGGGAAUAUUGCACAAUGGGCGCAAGCCGGAUGCAGCCAUGCCGCGUGUGUGAAGAAGGCCUUCGGGUUGUAAAGCACUUUCAGCGAGGAGGCGUUACUCGCAGAAGAAGCACCGGCUAACUCCGUGCCAGCAGCCGCGGUAAUAC